GACGAACGCUGGCGGCGUGCCUAACACAUGCAAGUCGAACGAAGCAUAGCAAUAUGCUUAGUGGCGGACGGGUGAGUAACGCGUGAACAAUCUGCCCUGUACAAAGGAAUAGCCUCGGGAAACCGGGAUUAAAACCGUAUGACACUUUAGUAUCGCAUGAUAAGAAAGUCAAAUCGAAUAGAGGUAUGGGAUGAGUUCGCGUCUGAUUAGCUGGUUGGCGGGGUAACGGCCCACCAAGGCGACGAUCAGUAGCCGGCCUGAGAGGGUGAACGGCCACACUGGAACUGAGACACGGUCCAGACUCCUACGGGAGGCAGCAGUUAGGAAUUUUGCGCAAUGGACGAAAGUCUGACGCAGCGACAUCGCGUGUAGGAUGAAGGCCCUCGGGUCGUAAACUACUUUUUGGGAGCCAUGAAGGCGCCCAGAAUAAGGAACUACUAACUACGUG
rnacentral:rRNA from 1 species